AACUGGUCCCUGAACAGAAGACAGUAUAGUUUAGGACGAGUGCCGGAGGGAUUAUUGGUCUCGUGGCAUUGUCCUUCGAGUCAAACGUGAGAUUUCUCACAUGUCAAAUGGGAAAUUUAUACUUGUGAUGUCACUAAAAAUUCUUGCAUGGGGUGGCAAAUUACGGAACAGCGCGAUGCAUUUUUUCAUACAUCAUUGCUUCUUGUUCUCCACUUCAAACUUCCUUCGAGGCCGUUGAACCACUUACAUAUUUUCAACAUCGUGGAGAUAAUAACAGCUUGGAACAUAUGAACUGUGAUAACCGAGGUAGAUAGUUGGGGAACAAAAAUUAUGACCUACCAGUGCUAGGGGUUUAGGUUGCAGUCUACAUAAAAAGGAUUGGCAAACAAUGCAUCGCCCUCUCCGGCGCGUUGGUAUGCGAGCAUCAUCGUCGGGAGGAGGGUGACGAACCGAGAAUGCCGGCCGGUAGCUACAUGCACUACAGAAAUAAAAGUGACUACACUUAUAUUACACAUUUGAGGUACAAGCGUUAUACGCAAUGGGAGAGUGCCCUUUAAAGGCGCAUCCGUUGCGCAACAUCGUGCGUGCACCGUUACUGCUAUGUGUAGUGUGUCGAAGUAAUCUUCCGUACUUGAGAAUGAGCAACAAGAGAUUAUUCAUUAAUGCUCUUCAACUGUCUAAUAAACCGGAGCACAUCAUGAACUAAUGAGAAUGAACUGAUUCAGUCGUUCGUCAAUACCGAAGAUUUCAACAGGAAAUUUCGCGCCAAACUGUUGAGAAUAUCUUUGACAUUGGCUCGAGCAAACGACCCGUUGUAAACCUCCCGGGGAAUAACGGAAAACACUCGGGUUGUUUAGGAGUUAAGCAGCGCAACAGGUGGGGAACCUCAUAGGCCUUGAGGCAGACAUCUCACCCUGGACGAACCGAGGAUGAAGGACACUCUCGAAGGGUCUCUCGAGCAAACCACAUCGGAUUAUCAAUCUGGCUAUAAUUAUAUCGAGUACUUGAGUAGAAUGUAAAUGUUAAAGAUGGUAAA